UACAGAGGGUGCGAGCGUUAAUCGGAAUUACUGGGCGUAAAGCGCACGUAGGCGGCUUGGUAAGUUGGAUGUGAAAUCCCCGGGCUUAACUUGGGAAUUGCAUUCAAGACUGCCUUGCUCGAGUGUGGGAGAGGGAAGCGGAAUUCCAGGUGUAGCGGUGAAAUGCGUAGCUAUCUGGAGGAACAUCAGUGGCGAAGGCGGCUUUCUGGCCCAACACUGACGCUGAGGUGCGAAAGCGUGGGGAGCAAACAGG
rnacentral:rRNA from 1 species